rnacentral:rRNA from 1 species
AUUGAACGCUGGCGGCAUGCCUUACACAUGCAAGUCGAACGGUAACAGGUCUUCGGAUGCUGACGAGUGGCGAACGGGCGAGUAAUACAUCGGAACGUGCCCGAGAGUGGGGGACAACGAGGCGAAAGCUUUGCUAAUACCGCAUACGAUCUCAGGAUGAAAGCAGGGGACCGCAAGGCCUUGCGCUCACGGAGCGGCCGAUGGCAGAUUAGGUAGUUGGUGGGAUAAAAGCUUACCAAGCCGACGAUCUGUAGCUGGUCUGAGAGGACGACCAGCCACACUGGGACGGAGACACGGCCCAGACUCCGACGGGAGGCAGCAGUGGGGAAUUUUGGACAAUGGGCGCAAGCCUGAUCCAGCCAUGCCGCGUGCAGGAUGAAGGCCUUCGGGUUGUAAACUGCUUUUGUACGGAACGAAAAGACUCUGGUUAAUACCUGGGGUCCAUGACGGUACCGUAAGAAUAAGCACCGGCUAACUACGUGCCAGCAGCCGCGGUAAAAC